rnacentral:rRNA from 1 species
UUGGAGGGCAAGUCUGGUGCCAGCAGCCGCGGUAAUUCCAGCUCCAAUAGCGUAUAUUAAAGUUGUUGCAGUUAAAAAGCUCGUAGUUGAAUUUCGGAAUCUGUCCGUCGGUCGGGCUUCACUGUCCGUACUGGCGUGAUGGGUUUCUACCUUCUGAAUAACCGGCAUGUCAUUAAUUUGGUGCGCCGGGGAAGCAGAACUAUUACCUUGAAAAAAUUAGAGUGCUUAAAGCAGGCUAUCGCCUGAAUAGAUUAGCAUGGAAUAAUAAAAUAGGACGGCAUGGUUCUAUUUUGUUGGUUUCUAGGAUCACCGUAAUGAUUAAUAGGGAUAGUUGGGGGCAUUAGUAUUCAAUUGUCAGAGGUGAAAUUCUUGGAUUUAUUGAAGACUAACUUCUGCGAAAGCAUUUGCCAAGGAUGUCUUCAUUAAUCAAGAACGAAAGUUAGGGGAUCGAAGACGAUCAGAUACCGUCGUAGUCUUAACCAUAAACUAUGCCGACUAGGGAUCGGACGAUGUUAAUUUUUUAAUGACUCGUUCGGCGCCUUACGGGAAAC